AUCCUUACCUAGCAGGGAAGAGACCAUAAUCACGAAGGUGGUUUUCCCAGGGCGAGUCUUCUCUUUGCACUCCAGAUGUGCUGACCCCGGCUAUAUCCCAAACAUGGGAAACUCGACUGCAUAAUUUGUGGUAGUGAGAGACUGCAUUCACCCUCUCUCCUG